rnacentral:rRNA from 1 species
AGUUUGAUCAUGGCUCAGAUUGAACGCUGGCGGCAUGCUUUACACAUGCAAGUCGAGCGGCAGCGCGGGGGCAACCCUGGCGGCGAGCGGCGAACGGGUGAGUAAUGCAUCGGAACAUGUCCAUGUCGUGGGGGAUAGCACGGCGAAAGCCGGAUUAAUACCGCAUACGCUCGAGAGAGGAAAGCCGGGGACCGCAAGGCCUGGCGCGAUUGGGUUGGCCGAUGUCCGAUUAGCUAGUUGGUGAGGUAAAGGCUUACCAAGGCGAUGAUCGGUAGCUGGUCUGAGAGGAUGAUCAGCCACACUGGGACUGAGACACGGCCCAGACUCCUACGGGAGGCAGCAGUGGGGAAUUUUGGACAAUGGGGGCAACCCUGAUCCAGCCAUUCCGCGUGAGUGAAGAAGGCCUUCGGGUUGUAAAGCUCUUUUGUCCGGAGCGAAACGGGCGCGGCUAAUAUCCGCGUUCACUGACGGUACCGGAAGAAUAAGCACCGGCUAACUACGUG